rnacentral:snRNA from 1 species
AUCGCUUCUCGGCCUUUUGGCUAAGAUCAAGUGUAGUAUCUGUUCUUAUCAGUUUAAUAUCUGAUAUGUCCUCUAUUUGAGUCCAAGGUUGACUCAGCCUUCCAUCCUCU